UAGGGGUCCCGGCCUUCGCCGGGACGACGAUUGAACCGCAUACAGUCCGUUCAACGAGAAUCCAGCGCUAUCUCAACACCUUGAUAGCCAAUCAAAGCACGUAUCGCUGCAUAAGGCAAAGUCGUGACGAACUCCGCUGCAAAGGGCGAAGUGGUGACGGCAUGGUGGCCGCCGUUUCGUUCUCGAAAAUGCUCGGUCCGCCGCAGGCAUGCCACUGCAAAUUAGGAAUUCGAUAAUGUAUACCAAUCUCAGGUCAUCAGAGAGGGCCAUCGGUCCUCCGGCAUGAACCGUCCACCCGGGGAAGGUUAUCCCCACAAGCGAGGAGGUUGUGAUGAGAGUCGGAGACAUCCUGAACAGGAAGAGCACCCGUAUCGCCACCGUCCGCAUGAACGAAACCGUCGCCACCGCCGCGCGGCUGCUGCGCAACGACAAUGUCGGCGCGCUUGUCGUGAAGGACGUCUGCCGCACCGAAGGCAAUGUUGCCGUCGGCAUGUUCUCGGAACGCGAUGUCGUGCGCGCUGUCUCCGAGCACG
rnacentral:misc_RNA from 1 species